UGUUUUGUUUCCACCAACCAGCACCAGUUUAACUUUGUUGAUUCACGAAUGUCAUUCUCAACUUUGACACUGAAAGCUGAAGGGUUCAUAUUCCAUAGUACUGACCUUUUAACCCAUUUAGAAAUUAGAACUUGAGUCGUGUUAUUUUUGUUUACUGUUGAACCUUUCCCUUUGAACCCUUAUCUCGAAAAUAGUGGGAGGUAAACUGGACUUAUAUCAGUGUAUUUAUUCUGAGUUCGACCCUUUAUUCUGUGUAAAAUUAUAUCUUCUCAAUUUAACAGUUUUUAGUAGGUUUUCUAGUUAGAAGUUUUUUAGAGUUUCAUAGUGAAUUAGUGGCACGUUUUAUACAAAAAAGAAUUAGAAAAUAUUCUACCUCACUUUAAAGAUGACGUCUCUUACUAAAGGAAUAUUUAUUGUAGCAGCUAAACGUACUCCUUUCGGGACAUACGGUGGGAAAUUUGUUAAGACAAGUGCCCUAGAACUACAGGAAGUUGCAGCAAAAUCGGCUCUCACCUCUGCCAAUAUAAAACCGGAAAUUGUGGACUCUGUGGUGAUAGGCAAUGUGCUGGCUAAUACCUCUUCAGACUCCAUCUUUCUUCCUCGUCAUCUUCUCCUACGGUGUGGGAUCAGUUUAGACAAGCCUGCCCUAGGAGUGAACAGACUUUGUGGUUCUGGCUUCCAAGCUGUAGUCAAUGGUGCUCAGAACAUUCUCUGUGGAGACUCGCAAGUAGUGUUGACAGGUGGGGUGGAUAACAUGAGCCAGGCGCCCCACGCUGUUCGGAACAUCAGGUUUGGUGUGCCUCUUGGUUCUACUCCUGAAUUGGAGGACACACUGUGGGUGGGGCUGACCGACACCUACUGCAAGCUGCCGAUGGCUCUCACUGCAGAAAAGCUUGCUUCUCAGUACAAGAUAUCUCGCGGAGAGGUUGACCAGUUUGCACUUAGAUCACAGACACUGUGGAAGAAAGCUCAUGAUGCUGGGGUAUUCAAGGCUGAACUGGCCCCAGUGACAGUGGUCCAGAAGAAGAAGGAAGUUGUUGUGGAUGUUGACGAGCAUCCAAAGCCUCAGACCACUCUUGAGGUGCUUGGCAAACUCCCAUUGGUCUUCAAGAAAGAUGGUGUUGUGACAGCGGGUUCUGCUUCAGGCAUCUGUGACGGUGCGGGAGCAGUGGUGUUGGCGAGUGAGGAGGCCUGCAAACAGCAUGGACUGACACCACUGGCUAGACUUGUGGGCUACUCAGUGGUAGGAGUUGAGCCGAGCAUCAUGGGUAUUGGACCGGCCCCCGCCAUUCAGAACCUGCUCAAGGCGGCUGGCAAAUCACUCAAUGAUAUUGACUUAGUUGAGAUCAAUGAGGCAUUUGGUGCCCAAACUUUGGCAUGCCAGAAGGAGUUAAAGCUGGACAUUGAGAAGCUUAAUUUAAAUGGAGGAGCCAUUGCUCUAGGGCACCCUCUCGCAGCCUCUGGGGCCAGGAUCACGGGUCAUCUCGUUCAUGAGCUCAGGCAAACCACACAGCUGUUCUCAUCCACAAACUGAUGAAUGAAGAUCUCCCUACUGGCACUAUGGAAGAGUUGCAAUUGUUUUCGUACCAGUUACUUCACCAAAAAGUACACUUCUCAGUCUGUGGAUUCUUUAAUCUAGAUUUCACUCUUCUAAAUGGCGUAAUAGCAUCAGUAGCAACAUACCUAGUGAUUCUCAUACAGUUUCAGAUGUGAACUACUACUAGUUCCUCAGUUAGUUGAAUUUAAGAGUAAUUAUUAGGUUGUAACUGUGUAUUAAUUGCAAGGUUCAUGCUAACCAACCUCUGCUUUGUCUCUAAAAAUACUCAAUUAACCAUAAUGAAAAAUAUAUGUACCAAAAAGUAUGGUGAAUUAAAAGUCAUUGAAGGUG
rnacentral:misc_RNA from 1 species